rnacentral:rRNA from 1 species
UACGUAGGUGGCAAGCGUUGUCCGGAAUUACUGGGCGUAAAGCGUGCGUAGGCGGAUAUUUAAGUCGGAUGUGAAAUCCCCGGGCUCAACCUGGGAACUGCAUUCGAUACUGGAUAUCUAGAGUAUGGUAGAGGAAAGUGGAAUUCCCGGUGUAGCGGUGAAAUGCGUAGAUAUCGGGAGGAACAUCAGUGGCGAAGGCGGCUUUCUGGACCAAUACUGACGCUGAGGUACGAAAGCGUGGGGAGCAAACAGG